rfam:Asian citrus Psyllid, Diaphorina citri - Florida Strain, whole genome shotgun sequence.
GCCUCGGUAGCGUAGUAGUCAAGACGCUCGCCUGGUAAACAGGAGGGCGUGGGUUCGAUCCCAACCGAGGCA